CACGCCGUAAACGAUGAAAACUAGCUGUCAGGGUGCUUGGCACUUUGGUGGCGUAGCUAACGCGAUAAGUUUUCCGCCUGGGGAGUACGGCCGCAAGGUUAAAACUCAAAGGAAUUGACGGGGGCCUGCACAAGCGGUGGAGCAUGUGGUUUAAUUCGAAGCAACGCGCAGAACCUUACCAGCCCUUGACAUCCCGGUCGCGGGGAGCAGAGAUGCACCCCUUCAGUUCGGCUGGACCGGUGACAGGUGC
rnacentral:rRNA from 1 species